GAUGAAGAACGCAGCGAAAUGCGAUAAGUAAUGUGAAUUGCAGAAUUCAGUGAAUCAUCGAAUCUUUGAACGCACAUUGCGCCCCCUGGUAUUCCGGGGGGCAUGCCUGUUCGAGCGUCAUUUCACCACUCAAGCCUCGCUUGGUAUUGGGCAACGCGGUCCGCCGCGUGCCUCAAAUCGACCGGCUGGGUCUUCUGUCCCCUAAGCGUUGUGGAAACUAUUCGCUAAAGGGUGUUCGGGAGGCUACGCCGUAAAACAACCCCAUUUCUAAGGUUGACCUCGCAUCAGGUAGGGAUACCCGCUGAACUUAAGCAUAUCAAUAAGCGGAGGA
rnacentral:misc_RNA from 1 species